UGCUCUUAAAAACACUGGGCUAGACAGAAGUAUACUGGGUGUUCACAAUGGAGCUAUACAGGCUCAGGAGAAGGAGACUCAGAAGAGGUAUCAGCCCUGACUGGAACCUAGGACCUGAGACUCUCACCCUGGAAUAUCCUUCUAUAGAGCUCUUCUGGAAACAGAAUCUCUGAAAGAGUGUGGAGUGUGAAUUCCUGAAGAAUCACCACAAGAAAAGUGAAAUGGACCUUCUUUUGGGAAUGUUCGAGAGGUCCCCCAAUACACUGAGUAGCAACACUACUUCACCAGCUUGGCGAAAAACAGAGAGAGCUCUGUAAAGACGGACUGACCAACCUGAGUGUAAAGAUGAAUUGACCAACCUGAGUUAAAGAAGCAAAUGUCUCAUUAAUAAAGACUUUGAUUCUCCAGAUAAG